GACUAUCAUGGUAUCACACAAAUUAUUAAAUAGGUAGUGUUUAUAGGAAUAGCGGAAUAAGGAAUAAAUAAAACACAUAAUAAAACAAUAUAAUAUACUUAAUCAACAGUAUCUGUACACACCAACAUACAUUUAUUUAUUAUUUACAUUUUUUAUAGAAUUUUAAGUUACUUCAAACAUUUUUUAUCUAUAUAUGCAUCUUUUUUUAACCUGUUAUAGACAUUCCUUGUCAAUUUAAAUUUAGAAAAAAACAAAGUUCUUUUUAGUUUCCUUUUAAAUUAAAAAAAAAUGAUUACAAACAUAACGAGGUAGUGUUUUAUACGUUAAAUAAUAACAUACUGUAAAAUUUAUUUUUAAACCGGGUAUCUGUAUGUCACUAAUUUCACAAAGUAAUCGACAAGAUACUGUCUAUUAUUUAACCAAACGUAACUUUAAUAUACUCUAUUGCAAACGUCUUUAAUACUCUUUACAACGGUUUAUGAUGAAAUUUAACUCACACAUAAGGUACUGAUAGACUUAUUACCAACAAAUAAACUGUAACGAUUAAAUUUACAAGUUGCGAAUACAAAUAUUUGACAAAUGAAGUUGAAUUUGAUGGUGAAAAAUAAAUACAUAUUUUUAAGUUUUAUCUGAUAGUUAUACGACAGAUAGCUUUUCAGCAACUAGUGAAACAGGCGCGAAAUUCGAAUAUCUUUACAAAUAUUUAAAAAAAAUUGCAUUAAAACUCUUUCAGAUAUUUUUUCAAGACCUUCAAGUAAAUAAAAAUAACUUUAAUUUUUCUUAGUCCAACUAACGACCAAUAUGAUAAAUAAAUAUCACAAAUAUUAUUCCGUAAGCGAAUUUGUACAAAUGUUUGAUCCAAUUCAAUUUUUAUACAUUGUAUACAUUCUGUAGAAGUUCUAAACAAAUACGAUUUUGUUAUUCCGUUAUUUUUAAUGUUAAGUAAAUAAUAAUGAAAUAGUAUUUAAAUAUUGAAUGAUAAUAAAACCGUAAACUUUUUUCGGUACAAGUAUGUUGUUACACUUCUUGACUAAUUACUAUGAUUAGAAUUUUAAUGACUCAUUACCAAAACAGAAUAGAUAAUAUCGACAAUGUCACAGAAUGUCAAAGGAUGUCAAAGAUAGGGCCCGCCAUCGGCUGCGAUUUUUAACAACCGUAUAUUAUAUACUAUAUAAUUAAAUAAAUUAAAUGUUAUAAUAAUUCAGUACAUUUUUUAUUUUAAAUCUGGCCCUCCUACACAUUCUAAAUUUAAUAUAUGGUCCUCUGCAAAAUUGAGCUUGACACCCCUGGUUUAGAGCUUCCAUUCGAGCUACGACAGUCGAACGAAAUUAAGACGUUUGCGACUAAAAUAUAACUGAAUAAUAUAUGAAUAUUUUUAAACGGUUUUAUUUAGCUCACCCCGUUUGUUUUUUUAUUUUUUCUUUAUUUAUUCUUGGGUC
rnacentral:misc_RNA from 1 species